UGGGGAAUAUUGCACAAUGGGCGCAAGCCUGAUGCAGCGACGCCGCGUGGGGGAUGACGGCCCUCGGGUUGUUAACUCCUUUCGCUAGGGACGAAGCUUUUUGUGACGGUACCUAGAUAAGAAGAACUGGCUAACUACGUGCCAGCAGCCGCGGUAAUACGUAGGGUGCGAGCGUUGUACGGAAUUACUGGGCGUAAAGGGCUCGUUGGUGGUUUGUCGGGUCGUCUGUGAAAUUCCGGGGCUUAACUCCGGGCGUGCAGACGAUACGGGCAUAACUUGAGUAUUUUAGGGGUAACUAGAGAUCCUAGUGUAGCGGUUAAAUGCGUAGAUAUCAAGUGGAACACCGAUGGCGAAGGCAGGUUACUGGGCAGUUACUGACGCUGAGGAGCGAAAGCAUGGGUAGCGAACAGG
rnacentral:rRNA from 1 species